rnacentral:rRNA from 1 species
CAGAACGAACGCUGGCGGCGCGUCUUAAGCAUGCAAGUCGAGCGGCAAGGUGGAGCAAUCCACCCUAGAGCGGCGGACUGGUGAGUAACGCGUGGGUGACCUACCUCAGGGACUGGGAUAGCCGCUAGAAAUAGCGGGUAAUACCGGAUGUGGUCUGACCCCCAUGGGGGUCAGAAGAAAGGGGCUUUGGCCCCGCCAAGGGAUGGGCCCGCGUUCCAUUAGCUGGUUGGCGGGGUAAAGGCCCACCAAGGCGAUGAUGGGUAGCCGGCCUGAGAGGGUGAACGGCCACAUUGGGACUGAGAUACGGCCCAAACUCCUACGGGAGGCAGCAGCUAAGAAUAUUCCGCAAUGGGCGAAAGCCUGACGGAGCGACGCCGCGUGUACGAGGAAGGCCGAAAGGUUGUAAAGUACUUUUGCCGUUGAAGAAUAAGCGGGGCAGGGAAUGGCCCCGUGAUGACAUUAGGCGGCGAAGGAGCCCCG